AUAGGAAAUAUCAUCAUACAUGAUUGCCUCUAGGGCAUAUCUCCAACACAUUCUCAGCUGCUGGUCUGCACUACCGAAUUGGUAAAUAUCGACUUGGGCUAUACUCACUUUAGUUUCUGGUCACAACAAGCCACGUGCUUUCAUCCAGUGCAUGAAAUAUAUUUAGAUUACCUCGGAAGCUUUGUGCAAUCUAACACGCCGACCUUGUCAACUCGCUAAAUGAAAGGUUAAAAGUACCAAUGGAGAUGUUAAACUGCAGAAAGUAUGCACCAAUCUCCAAAAUAGUGAAAGAACUCUCAUUAUGAGGCAAAAAUGGUUAAACUGUUUUUGUAACACCUAAAUAUUGCAGGGCAGAGUUAUAAGAGGGGUCAUGAGUUGCUUUGGAAGCAUGGAAAUGGCUAAAUAACCUGCAAAAUCUGUAAUAGAUGCAAAACAAUAUAACUCUCAGAAGAAAUAUUGCUCUUGUCCAUGUGAAAUAUUGCUCUUGUCCACGUGAUAAAUUUAAAUGUAAAACAUUUACAGUAAAGUCGACAGAAAUGAGCAGGAAUUUAAAAUCUUUUAUAAAAACUAUACAUAAAAGAGCAAAUCAUAGUUCAAUUCUACUCAAAGACAAAGAUGAUGAUGCACAUUCUAUGCUAGCUGGCACAUCUACACAAAGAACCAACAUGGCAAAUGCAAGGAAACCGGAGAUAAAUCUUCGGCUAAGAUUGAAGAAAGAAAAUAGGAUGAGCUCACCUUUGAUCUGCUUAGCACAUCCAGGAAUAACCAAUUUCUUCCUUAAUCAUGUGAGUGCCCUGGACAAAACAAUCUUCUAGUUCAUUGAUGAGCAACCCUUCUGAAGCUCCAACAAAGAGGAAAUUUAGAAUUUUAACCCAGUGCACAUAGUCACAGUGAUUAAGCAAACUGGAGCACUCUCAAAUGCUAAGCAAGCUCUACUUUCAAGAACCAUAUAAAAAAUCAAUGAAUAGAAGGCUGAGUGAACUAAACAGACUUUGGUUAAAGCUGUCACACUACAAUUAGAAAAGCAUAUCUGUAGCAGGUGAACCACAAAAUUUAUAUACAGCCAACCUGACCGCACAAACGCACCAGUUCAUGGAAUGUUUACCAAGACCUAAUCAAGCAAGCCAAUAGGAAACCUAACCUUGUUGGUAAACAUCACACGCAUCCAACAAAAUCAACAAAGAACCUGCACAUGGAAAGGAACAUGGAAGAAAUAAAUGUCUCGGCUCACUCACAUUUUAUCAAACAGGAUUUAGGAGACGAGCAGAAAAGAUCUUAGCUCCGAGUGCAAAUAACCAACUGAUGUGAUCGCAUACCUGAGCAGCAAGCCACCAACAAAACAAACAAGCCUGUAAAUCCAUCAGAUUGCUAAAG
rnacentral:lncRNA from 1 species